rnacentral:lncRNA from 1 species
ACCAAUGUGGAAAUUUGUUUUGUUCAACUAUUCUCAUUUGUCCAAAAACAAACAAAAUCCUCAACAGAGGUUUUUUUUUUGUUUUUGUUUUUGUUUUGCUUUCAGUGGGGAAAAAAGAAGAUGGUGAAUGGACGAAUAUGGAUAUUCAUUUGAAAAAAUACAAAAUGUCAACUUGGUGGAAGCCUUUAUUUCAAGUCUUGGAAAGCAAGUCUUCUGUCAAGUCAGCAAAUACUUUAAAUGCCUGCUGUAUGCCACAUAUUCAAAUCCUGAGUGUAUUGUUACCCAGGGCACAUUCAAUUCUAGCCCAAUCCCAAGGAGUUAAAAAGCUUUUGAUCAUAGCAAAGUAAUUCAACAGGAAAAAUCCAUGGAAUAUCUGGACAUGCUCCAAAUAGAGGAACAAGACCCUCCAUUCCUGCU